rnacentral:rRNA from 1 species
CACGUAGAGCGCAAGCGUUGUCCGGAAUUAUUGGGCGUAAAGAGCUCGUAGGUGGUUUGUUACGUCUGCUGUGAAAACCUAGGGCUUAACCCUGGGCUUGCAGUGGAUACGGGCAGACUAGAGGUAGGUAGGGGAGAAUGGAAUUCCUGGUGUAGCGGUGAAAUGCGCAGAUAUCAGGAGGAACACCGGUGGCGAAGGCGGUUCUCUGGGCCUUACCUGACACUGAGGAGCGAAAGCGUGGGGAGCGAACAGG